CUCUGGGCUCAAAUUCAUGACCCAGAGGUCAUGACUUGAGCCGAAACCAAGGGCUGGAUGCUCAAUCCACUGAG